rnacentral:rRNA from 1 species
GAUGAACGCUGGCGGCGUGCCUAAUACAUGCAAGUCGAGCGAACAGACGAGGAGCUUGCUCCUCUGACGUUAGCGGCGGACGGGUGAGUAACACGUGGAUAACCUACCUAUAAGACUGGGAUAACUUCGGGAAACCGGAGCUAAUACCGGAUAAUAUAUUGAACCGUAUGGUUCAAUAGUGAAAGACGGUUUUGCUGUCACUUAUCGAUGGAUCCGCGCCGCAUUAGCUAGUUGGUAAGGUAACGGCUUACCAAGGCAACGAUGCGUAGCCGACCUGAGAGGAGGAUAGGCGACACUGGAGGUGGGACACGGACCAGGGGACUACGGGAGGCAGCAGUAGGGAAUCUUCCGCAGUGGGCGGAAGCCUGACGGAGCAACGCCGCGUGAGUGAUGAAGGUCUUCGGAUCGUGAAACUCUGUUAUUAGGGAAGAACAAAUGUGUAAGUAACUAUACACGUCUUGACGGUACCUAAUCAGAAAGCCACGGCUAACUACGUG